AUUGAACGCUGGCGGCAGGCCUAACACAUGCAAGUCGAGCGGAGCGGCGGACGGGUGAGUAAUGCCUAGGAAUCUGCCUGGUAGUGGGGGAUAACGUCCGGAAACGGGCGCUAAUACCGCAUACUAUAGGAGGAGGCUAGGGCGGAUUAGCUAGUUGGUGGGGUAAAGGCAUACAAAGGCGACGAUCCGUAACUGGUCUGAGAGGAUGAUCAGUCACACUUGAACUGAGACACGGUCCAGACUCCUACGGGAGGCAGCCGUGGGGAAUAUUGGACAAUGGGCGAAAUCCUGAUCCAGCCAUGCCGCGUGUGUGAAGAAGGUCUUCGGAUUGUAAAGCACUUUAAGUUGGGAGGCGUUACCAACAGAAUACGCACCGGCUAACUACGUGCCAGCAGCCGCGGUAAUUC
rnacentral:rRNA from 1 species